GCUGACUCAAAGUUCUGGCGAUCCAAGACCCAUAUAAAAACAUUAUUUGAGAAGUUCUACUUAACAUAGGCUCCCGUCUCAAGGGACAGGCACAUGCCGAAAAGCAAACAUCUGCAAAAGGAUAACUAACUGCACUCAUUCAAAUAAGCAAGAAAAGCUAGCUUCUGACCUUGCCAAACAAUGAACCUGGGGCGUUCAUGACUCCUUAAAAUUAACAUACUCAGAAAUGGAGACAGCCAUAAUGCCACUUCCGAUUUUCUCGAUUUUCAAAGUACUUCACAGUUAUCACGCAGAGCAGCACAAUGCUGAAAACUGCUGAUGCCUCUGAGAGAAUAGACUGUUUCGAUAAUGGAACAUUUAUGUGUUAG